AUGCACGCUGGCGGCGUACCUAAUACAUGCAAGUCGAGCGAACAGACGAGGAGCUUGCUCCUCUGACGUUAGCGGCGGACGGGUGAGUAACACGUGGAUAACCUACCUAUAAGACUGGGAUAACUUCGGGAAACCGGAGCUAAUACCGGAUAAUAUAUUGAACCGCAUGGUUCAAUAGUGAAAGACGGUUUUGCUGUCACUUAUAGAUGGAUCCGCGCCGCAUUAGCUAGUUGGUAAGGUAACGGCUUACCAAGGCGACGAUGCGUAGCCGACCUGAGAGGGUGAUCGGCCACACUGGAACUGAGACACGGUCCAGACUCCUACGGGAGGCAGCAGUAGGGAAUCUUCCGCAAUGGGCGAAAGCCUGACGGAGCAACGCCGCGUGAGUGAUGAAGGUCUUCGGAUCGUAAAACUCUGUUAUUAGGGAAGAACAAAUGUGUAAGUAACUAUGCACGUCUUGACGGUACCUAAUCAGAAAGCCACGGCUAACUACGUG
rnacentral:rRNA from 1 species